rnacentral:lncRNA from 1 species
GAUUACUUUGUUAUCCUAUAACUUUUGGUAAGUAUUUAAUAGACUAAACUUUGUGUAUAUUGAGUAGGGACUGCUGUUUGAUUACUUGAUAAUUUCUUGGUUGACUGAGUUGAUAUUAGUUAUGUUUUUGGCUUGUUAUAAAGUGAAUUGAUUGUGAUGUGUUGUGAAGUGAAUUGAUUGUGAUGUGUUGUGAAGUGAAAUGAUUGUGAUUAAGGAUUGAUGACUUUUGUAUGGAUAUUGUGUGAUCGGGAAAGCUGAGCCGGGCGGAUAGCUACCCGAGUAUGUGAGAUGGCAAGACUGAGCCGGGCGGAUAGUCUUGUCAAGUGGUUACUGAAAUUUAAAAAUGUGAGGAAAUGUAAGGAUGAGUCAUCUGAUCCUAAUUUGAUAGAAAUAAUGUGGAAUUGAAUUAUUUGACUUGGUUGAGUUUGAGAUUAUUUGCAUUACGUGAGAUGAAAUUAUAUGUUUAUGAGAAUAACUGAAAUGGUUGAUUUUGUGAUUGUUAGUUAAGUGUUGGUAUAAUUUUCUGUAUUGAUAAAGAUUUGAUAAUUCUAGCCUAAUAUACUAUAGUUUAGUAAAUUAAAUGCUUAUUGAGUCGCUAGCUCAUUCCUUAGCAAUUUUUUUUUUCAGGUUAGUGCAGUUGUAGAUAGCCUUAGCUGUGCAUUGCUCUUUUUGCAUCAGUCAAUAUUAUCAGGUGGGCCAGAGGAGUUAUCUAAAGCAUUGGGGCAUUUUGGGAACUUGUGUGAAUUAAACUACUGUAUAAAUAUUUUUUAUAUAUAUUAAGUAUGUCAUGCCACUUAAAUUGUAUGAAUGUAUAUUGUAACUAAGUAGUAAAUUAUGUU